AUUGAACGCUGGCGGCGUGCUUUACACAUGCAAGUCGAGCGGCAGCGCGGGGCAACCUGGCGGCGAGCGGCGAACGGGUGAGUAACAUAUCGGAACGUACCCAGUCGUGGGGGAUAACUAUCCGAAAGGAUAGCUAAUACCGCAUACGACCUGAGGGUGAAAGCGGGGGACCGAAAGGCCUCGCGCGAUUGGAGCGGCCGAUAUCGGAUUAGCUAGUUGGUGGGGUAAAGGCUCACCAAGGCGACGAUCCGUAGCUGGUCUGAGAGGACGACCAGCCACACUGGAACUGAGACACGGUCCAGACUCCUACGGGAGGCAGCAGUGGGGAAUUUUGGACAAUGGGGGCAACCCUGAUCCAGCCAUUCCGCGUGAGUGAAGAAGG
rnacentral:rRNA from 1 species